UUCACCAGUCAGUUCAAGCAGUCCGUUUUUUCUUCAUUUUUACUUUCCACUUUUGAAGAUUCUGUAAAUCAAAUCUGAUUGUUAAGUAGACAGACGAGAAGGAAAACUUCUCUUCGAAAAACAAACUGAAGAGGCGAGUUUUUGC
ensembl:ncRNA F55C10.10 ncRNA